rnacentral:rRNA from 1 species
UACAGAGACUGCAAGCGUUAUUCGGAUUCACUGGGCGUAAAGGGUGCGCAGGCGGUCGUGUGUGUCAGGUGUGAAAUCUCGGGGCUUAACCCCGAAACUGCGCCUGAAACUACAUGACUAGAGCAUUGGAGAGGUGAGCGGAAUUCAUGGUGUAGCAGUGAAAUGCGUAGAUAUCAUGAGGAACACCAGAGGCGAAGGCG